GAGUUUGAUCGUGGCUCAGAUUGAACGCUGGCGGCAGGCCUAACACAUGCAAGUCGGGCGGUAGAGAGAAGCUUGCUUCUCUUGAGAGCGGGCGGACGGGUGAGUAAUGCCUAGGAAUCUGCCUGGUAGUGGGGGAUAACGCUCGGAAACGGACGCUAAUACCGCAUACGUCCUACGGGAGAAAGCAGGGGACCUUCGGGCCUUGCGCUAUCAGAUGAGCCUAGGUCGGAUUAGCUAGUUGGUGAGGUAAUGGCUCACCAAGGCGACGAUCCGUAACUGGUCUGAGAGGAUGAUCAGUCACACUGGAACUGAGACACGGUCCAGGACUCCUACGGGAGGCAGCAGUGGGGAAUAUUGGACAAUGGGCGAAAGCCUGAUCCAGCCAUGCCGCGUGUGUGAAGAAGGUCUUCGGAUUGUAAAGCAC
rnacentral:rRNA from 1 species